CCUACGGGAGGCAGCAGUGGGGGAUAUUGCACAAUGGGGGAAACCCUGAUGCAGCGACGCCGCGUGAGUGAAGAAGUAUUUCGGUAUGUAAAGCUCUAUCAGCAGGGAAGAAAAUGACAGUACCUGACCAAGAAGCCCCGGCUAACUACGUGCCAGCAGCCGCGGUAAUACGUAGGGGGCAAGCGUUAUCCGGAUUUACUGGGUGUAAAGGGAGCGUAGACGGUUAUGUAAGUCUGGAGUGAAAGCCCGGGGCCCAACCCCGGGACUGCUUUGGAAACUGUGUAACUGGAGUGCAGGAGGGGCAGGCGGAAUUCCUGGUGUAGCGGUGAAAUGCGUAGAGAUCAGGAGGAACACCGGCGGCGAAGGCAGCCUGCUGGACUGAAACUGACGUUGAGGCUCGAAAGCGUGGGGAGCAAACAGGAUUAGAUACCCUUGUAGUC
rnacentral:rRNA from 1 species